AUGAUUCAUGAGAAUGAUCUUCUCACCACCUGCCAUCUCCCUGUAAAACCAGAAUUCUCCCUGUGGAGAGAAGAGAUCGGAAGGGUGUUCUGGGACCAGGCUGUGGAAAACCCAAACGCCAGGCGAAGGAGUUCGUGCUUCAUUCAGUGGUCAGCAGGGAGUCAUUGGAGGCUGUUGAGCAGGAGAGUUGCUUUCUUUACAGCUGUGCCAGGCUAAACUAAGCAUAAACAGUACUUUAUAAUUGGAAAGGGAAGGCCCAGAAAUAGCUCUUGACUCAGAAACAGGCAUAGGGAAAGGUAACGAGAAACAAGACUCUGAUCAAAGCUGGGAGGUUAAUUAAAUUUCUAAUUAUUGGGAAAGGCUGUUAAAAAACCCUAGUUCCCUGGGAAUAACGGCUGUGGAGGGGCUUCAAAGAAUAAUACUCCUCUUAACCCUUGGAUAGGUGCAACAGAGGCGGGCGUGUGCUUUUCUGUAGAGGAGAAAUGUUUAAGGUACUCAGUAAAUGGUAGGUAGACAUGCAUAUGUGUGUGUUCUCCGUAAAUCCACUCUCACCCCCAAUAUCCAUGUACCCAUGUACAGUGCUCUAGAACAUCAGGUCAGUAACUCACCAAUAGGAAUUUACACAGUAAAUGAUGGGUCUCUAAUUUGACCCCUUAUCCAUACAGAAGGUGCUGUGAUAACUCAACUUGUUCCAUAUUGUCAAGGUUUCCCAUGAGUCAUUAAAAAUGUAUUCCUAUUAUGUAGUAUCCCAUAGUUAUUUAAGUAAUUAGUAAGUUACGAAUGGGUCAUUUUACCACUGACCACCGGCCUUUAGCAGACAGGCGUCCAUGGACAUCCUUGGAAGUGGCCCUGAAUCAUCAUCUUCAGUCACCACUGUGUACGCAGCAUGGCAGUCAAGGCUGAAGCACAAUAGGACUACCAUCUUAGCGUGGUACAUUACUUUGUGGUUUACAAAAUAUUUUUGCAACUCCUAUUUCAUGGGAGAAACAAUUUUUAUUCCCAUAAGCAGUUGAGAACACUGAGGCUCAGAAAGAUUAAGAAGUACACCCAAACAUAUCCUGUUAAUCAGGAAAAGCUACAACCUAGGUCUUCAAACCUCUAACUCAGUGUUCUUUCAGCUGUGCCAAACUGUGUUCAGGUCUAAUUUGUGGUCCCUGUCCUCAAGCAGCUUGAAGGGUAAGAGAAAACAACUAUGCAUCAGACUUUGUGGUCAUGAUAAGAGUAUAAAGAAGGGAAGAGCCAGGAAGGCUUCUCGAAAGAGGUGUGUAAUUCUGCUGCUAUAACAGAAACCCGAAUUUUAAAAAGCUGAAGUCAGUCGGAAGUUAUUUCUCUCUCAUGUGUGUAAGUGUAAGCAUCUAGGGCUGAUGUGACACGGAGCUCAUAUGACAGCUCCAUGCUGUUGGGGACUGAGACUCCUGCACUCCUAUGGCUCUGGCAUCUUAGUGUACAUCCAUCCAGCCCAAGCAGCUCACACCCUGCCCUCAUCCCAGCCACAGAAAGGGGCAAGGAAAGAGCAUGCCUUUCCCUUUAAGAAUAUGAUCUACAUGUUGCACAAACUUGCUCAUGAAUGAACUUGCCCAUUUGACCUACUACAAGAGAGACUGUGACACGUGGUCUUUGGCACAUGUGGUCUUUGUCCUGGGCAGCCAUAUUCCCAGCUAGACUUCCAUUUCUGUGGAAGAGGAGAGAUAAAUGUUGGAGAAUAACAAAUAGACUCAACCAUAAGUGGGAGGCUCACAUGGGGCUUAAGGGAUGAGCAGGAGAGGAGAGAGUAGCACAAGGCCAGCCACGCAGGUGGGUAAAGGGGAAGAAAGAGGACAUCCUAAGCCGGCUGGACUACACGCUCAAGAUCUGGGAGGUGCAUUCUGGACACAAUGAGGAAAUGAACCUGCUGGGAAUGGCAACUGAAGGACAGGACGAAAAUCAGCCGUGUUCACUGGAGCCAAAUAAGUGAUGGGCCUUGAAAGCCAAGCUGAGUGGUUUGGAUUUGAGCUACUGCAGGUUCUUGGGGAAACAGUGUUUAAGAACAAUGUGUUGGUCAGGACUGCACAGGUGAAUUAGGUGGGUUGGAGUUGGGAGCCAGGAAGAUCCAUUAGGAGUCUCCUUCAACAAUCUGCCCAUAAGUUGAUAAAGACCCUGCCCAAGGCAAACGUCCUGGCUUGAGAGAAGGGGAGUGAGCGAGGUGUUUCGUGGAAGGUAAUAGGGCUUGGUUUCUGUUGGACUGUCUGGGGAAGAGUCACAGAUGCCUCAGGAGCUUCUCUCUCGGGAGGCUGCCUCUCUCACACAUGUUUGUUAGUGCUCCCCAGGUACCCAUUCAUCCUUCCUGCCUGUGUUGGGAGCACGUGAUGCCAGAACUUACCUUCAACAACAAAUGUUUGUUAAACACAGGCUUCAUGGGCAUACAGAGCCUGGCACAUAGCAAAUACUCAAUAACUAUUUGUUGAAUGAAUGACUGAAUGAAUAAAUGAAUAAAUAACUAAAAUAUAGGCA
rnacentral:lncRNA from 1 species